ACGGGUGAAUGCAUAUAAACGCUCACCGAUGCUGCUUUGUUGCUUCGACUCUGCUGCUGCGUGUGGGUCAUUAUACCGCUUUUAAAGAAUUAUGGUGAAGGAUGCUAAUAUGGAUAAGAGCAGCCCUUAAAAGGCUAAUAAAUGAGUCAAGGUAGGUGGGGAUGUGUUUAUUAGAAUGAAAAUAAUAUGUUUAGGUAUGAUAUCUUGAAAUAGUAAGUUAUUGUAUUGAAUGUUAAAAGUAGNGAUGAGUUUUUNAAGUUUUUGUGUUAUGAGGUUUUGAUGGUAGUAUAUGGGUUUAGUAUGGAAGUAAAGGGUAAUGAAGAAUUUGGGUUAGAUUUAGGAGAGGGAGUAUGAGAGAUGGAUAGUAUAUUGAAGGAAGGGAGUAGGUGUGUAAAUUAGUAAAUGUUGAGAUAGGGAGGUAGUGAUAAUAAAUGAUAAUGAGGGAUUUGUAGUUUUGGAAUUGGAUUGAGAAGAAGGUAAAAUUUUUAUGGAUAAGGAAUUGGAGGGUAAGUAUGGUGUUAGAAGUGGUGGUAAUUGUAGUUAGAAUAGAGUAUAUUAAGGUUGUUGGAGUUAAAAAGGUCAGG
rnacentral:rRNA from 1 species